UGAGCCAUCCCUUCGUCAGCUUGCCCAGU
rnacentral:piRNA from 1 species